rnacentral:rRNA from 1 species
AAUGAACGCUGGCGGCGCGCCUAAUACAUGCAAGUCGAGCGAGAAGACGUAGCAAUACGUUUGUAAAGCGGCGAACGGGUGAGGAAUACAUGGGUAACCUACCCUCGAGUGGGGAAUAACUAGCCGAAAGGUUAGCUAAUACCGCGUACGCUUCUUGGACUUCGGUUCAGGGAGGAAAGCGAUGCCGAGGGUAUCGCGCUCUUGGAUGGGCUCAUGUCCUAUCAGCUUGUUGGGAGGUAACGGCUCACCAAGGCUUCGACGGGUAGCUGGUCUGAGAGGACGAUCAGCCACACUGGCACUGCGACACGGGGCCAGACUCCUACGGGAGGCAGCAGUAAGGAAUAUUGCGCAAUGGGCGAAAGCCUGACGCAGCGACGCCGC